rnacentral:rRNA from 1 species
GAUGAACGCUGGCGGCGUGCCUAAUACAUGCAAGUCGAGCGAAUGGAUUAAGAGCUUGCUCUUAUGAAGUUAGCGGCGGACGGGUGAGUAACACGUGGGUAACCUGCCCAUAAGACUGGGAUAACUCCGGGAAACCGGGGCUAAUACCGGAUAACAUUUUGAACCGCAUGGUUCGAAAUUGAAAGGCGGCUUCGGCUGUCACUUAUGGAUGGACCCGCGUCGCAUUAGCUAGUUGGUGAGGUAACGGCUCACCAAGGCAACGAUGCGUAGCCGAGCUGAGAGGGUGAUCGGCCACACUGGGACUGAGACACGGCCCAGACUCCUACGGGAGGCGGCAGUAGGGAAUCUUCCGCAAUGGACGAAAGUCUGACGGAGCAACGCCGCGUGAGUGAUGAAGGCUUUCGGGUCGUAAAACUCUGUUGUUAGGGAAGAACAAGUGCUAGUUGAAUAAGCUGGCACCUUGACGGUACCUAACCAGAAGGCCACGGCUAACUACGUGCCAGCAGCCGCGGUAA